UCCUAUGUUUCAAACAUGUUGUUUAAAAGAAAUUGUUGUACUUGUUGAGCUUGUUAUGCUCACUCUUGCUUGAACCAUAUGAAUGCAGCUAGGGCCGAAUGAACCGAGGGAUCUGACAAGGAUAAAGGCAAGACGAAGAUGAACGAUUAGUUUAGCUUGUAAUAAACUAGUAAAUUGUAUAUAUUAUAGUAUGAUGAACAAAGAAUGUAAUGAUUUUAGAACCUGAGAACGAGAUGUAAUAUUAUUAAUGUAAUAAAAAUGCCGUUGAUACACAUUUAGAUGUUUUUUCAAUAGAAUGAAUGUACAGUUAUGAGUACCGUGUAACACCAUCUAUCGGGUUAGAAGAUACCCGAAUUUGGGGGCGUCACAAUCUCCAUCCCAACAUGAUGAAAUAUGAGCUAUUUUUUUCCUGGAAGGCUUGGAUGAAUAUCAUGAAUCUUCCUGUUCUUAGUGCAUUCCUUUGUUGAAGGACCAACUUUAAUUGGCAAAGAUUCUUUAUUGGCAUCUUCCAAAGUAUCCUAUUCAUGAAUAAUUGGGGUACUAAACUUUUAAUUUUUUACCAGAGGACUAUCGUGCUCACAAUACAUAUUCUCCCAAAUUACAUUGGGCCACUUUGUAUUUCCCUACAAAAUUAUUGGGUACAGGGAAUUAUGAGUGUCUAUUUUGUUAAUUUUAUCACUUUUGAGUGUUAUAAACAUUUGGCAGCUUUGGAUUGAGGGCAAUAGUGUAUCAAGUGGAAUUUCAUCGAACACCUUACCCGCAUCGCCCAUCUCUUCUAUAUUCACAAAGAGCACUCUUACUUCUGUGUUGGCUGCAAAGUUAGGGGAUGAGAAAUCAUAUUCUGGAACAAAAAUAAAAUUACCUUGUCAUGAAUUGAUUCAAUGCAAACUUGAUUAUUGAAUAAGCUUUGGUUUUUAAUUUCUGCAUAAAAUCCUCAUGAUCUCCAACCUAAAAAACAAUCGAAACAACAUUUUGAUGAAUCUCGUAUGUCGCAACUUUGAUUUCUUCACUUUUUGAGCCUAUGAUCUUCAUUUCAGAUAUCACCUCGAAACCUCUUCCACUGGAAGCUUUUAGUCAUCUAUUUUAUUCAUGACUUGCUUGACCUCUUCCUCCAUAAAACUCUGAAGUUCUUUCAUUAAUUCUAGAAUUUUCUUGAAAAGGUUUUCCAGGGUUAUAGAAUUUUGAUUUUCAAUUGGAAUAUUGUCUCACACCUUAAUCUGCCUCCUAAACCACUCAUAAUCUUUAAACCAGAAACUACUGAGUCUCCUGAACCUCAUCAAAAUCUACUUUCUCAAAUAGAUGCCCUAAAUAGUUUGACUUAUCUUUCCCUUAAAAAUCAAAACAAUCUAUUGAGUCAAAUAGAAUCACUAUAAUUGUCUGUGCAUCACCUCAGAGAUAUGCUAUAUAUGUUGAUGGAAAUUCAAAAGCUCUGUGUACCACCAUACCACUUUUCUACCAGUACAAGUUCUGCUAGAGGAGACCAGUCUGCUCAAACACCUCAGGAUAAUCCUCUACCUCCUCUUGGUCUAUAUUUCUCGCCUGCUCACUUGCCAGAUUUCUAACUAAUCGGGAGGACUGUAUAACUAUAUAUAUGUUAUAUCUAACUAUUCAGGAUGACUGUACUUAAUAAUGAUGAUAACAAUGCUCUAAAGAAGUUAGCAUAAUGUAUGGGAGAUUACAAGGCAAAUGCUUACUCAAAACACACUUCAUUAGUUCUAAAUCAAAAGGAUGGAGAAGUUUGAUUUCUCUAACAGGCAUAAUAUUGCACCUAAAGAUCUUAACCAUAAAUUGACACUGGGGAGUAAAAAACUCAAACCAACUUUGCAUGGAAAAUACCAGUCUAACUAGCUCAAUAUUUGUUACUAUGACCUCAUGUCUUUAGAAAGACAGGUUUUGCAAAACAAAGAGAAAGUGAGCAUGUCGUAUCACAACAAAAAGAAGCAACUCAUAAAUACUGCAAGAUUUUAUCAGAUACAUUUUCAUAUGAGAUGUGCAGAAACUCCUAACAAAAUCCAAUGCAGACAAAAAAAUAAAUCAACCCACAUACUAUUUCAGAGAAGGAAAAAAAUUAACUCAACAGAGAGAUGCAAACCUAUAAGUUCUUACCCAUAAUAGUAAACAUGCAUAUAUUCCUACACAACAGUCAUAGAAAUGGGAGUAGGAGAUGAGUUACAAUUUGAAUGACCAUAGAAAUAUCUUAGCACAUAAGAAGUGACUGAACACAGAUUUAGCCUCAACACAGAAGUCAAACAUAGAGAAGAAGCGAGAUAGUUUAUCCAGUCCCAACAUAGUAAGCAUACUCUGCGUAGAAGAUAUGAGUAAGAAAAAAAUACUUGAAAGCUUGUAAAAGCAUAUCCACAGAUUUGUCAUAUUUCUUCGCAAACUCAAUAGUCAAAUACACAUAUAGUUUGGUUAUACCUUCAGACUUCAAGCAAUGUGUAGACAGAGAGAUGCAUGCAACUAAAGUAUUAAAAAUAUAUUAGGGUUUAAACAGUUUACACACAAAAGGAAUUAAGGUUUUCAAAGAUCAAAAUUUUAGUGGUAAAAAUACAAAUAAUUUUUCAGAUCUAAUGUUGAAGUCUAAACUCUGAGAUUUAAGUUGUUAAAACCCAGUCUCAAAGUUUAGCCGAAGAAGAUGAUUUCUAAACAAAAUUAGGGCUUUGACAUAGUGAAAAUGAUUUGCGAUUAAAAGAAUGAAAUAAAACUAAUUUAGAAAAGUUAGGGUUUCGAAUCGAAAAGAAAAUCUGUGUUUAUCAAACUGAGAAAUUGACAAAUCCAUCAUCGCUUUUUAAGAAAAACAUGUAUCUAAAUGAUAGAUCAACUAAAAUAUACUGAAAGAAAGCUUUAAAAAAACUUUAUAAAUAUGAAAAUAAACGAGAUCCGAAAUAAAAACUAAAUAGAAACACAAGAUUGAUCGGUAGAAGGACUAAAUCGAUGGUGUAAAAUCAUUUUAUUGGUUCAGAUUUCUAGAAUUUGAAUUGGAGAUCAGACAUUUUUUGGUAGAAAUCGAUUAGGGUUUGAGAGAGAAUUGAGGAGAGAGAGAGAUAAGACGGUAGAAGAUAU
rnacentral:lncRNA from 1 species